UGUUCUCCAGCAUGUACAGUGCUUCUACAUCAACCCAAUUGAGCAGAGUUGAUCCAGCUGUGCCGAGCGGGACAUCUUCAGGACUGGACACAUCGAACAUUCCUCAGAACACCUCGGCUAAAACCAGUAGUGCACUACUCAGGUAUGCACAUCCCCUGCAGCACCAUUUAUUUGAUGUCAGUUUUUCAAAAAGGACGCGCGCUUCCUUUGGUUCUUUUACCUCUGUACACCACAUACAGUGGUAACCAACUUCUUGUUCUUGCACUGUUUUGUUUUUCAGCUUGUCUGAACCACCCGAUAUUGCGGAUGAUCAAAGCAGUGUGUCAGCAGCAACUAGCGAUUUCCUACUUUCAAGCUAGUGCUGUUUCCCCAUGCUUUUGCACCUUUUUCACGCCGGUCACUAACAUGUAGUUUCUGUACCGUUUUGUUUUCUAGCAUUUGUGAACCACCGAGUUUCGUGGAUGAUGUCAACAGUUUGCUGGCGCCCUUGAAAGUGAUGCCCUUGCAGCGGCCGCCUUCAACAGUAGAAACCGCUGCAGUAGCAUACGUCGCCGGUUUCGUCGUGAAAGCGAUAGAAGAACAAAGGAUGUGCAGCGCCUGCCCGAGACUGAAUGAUUCGGAACCAUCAAUAUCACCAGUGAUGGGACUUAUUAACCACCGAACUAGAGGGGGUUUGGUGUUCCCAAAGGCCGAGGUUGUAGCUGUUCUUGUAAAAGUAAGGCCAUCGACAUCGCAGCGCCACGUAUUGCCACAAACGAUGUGUGCAAGAAGAUCACGGCAAUGAUUUUGCCGCAUCUGGAGAGUUGUCCUCUAUUUAUAUGCGAGGCAAGAGAAGACCAUGCCUCGGUCACAUCGUCAAUAGUGGCAAAGAAAUUCAUAAAGCCCCUCCUAUCAAACAUUGUUGCUCUUGUUACGGACAGAGUGGCCUAUCGCAAAAAAUUAAUCACUAAGCCGCUCAGUCGAAAGGUUUUGCGCGUUUAAACAGCUCGAGCGCGCGCGAGCUGACAACUUUUUAUUGUAAAUAAAUUCCUGCAUACACUGA